rnacentral:rRNA from 1 species
AUGAGAUAUCGGAGUCCCUCCGAGUCCGUACUCUCUCGCGCCUUGAGAGGACGAAUUUCUGUCGCCGAGGUAGUGGAGGAUGCGCUUGCGCGGGAGGGGAGGGGGCAUGGGGUAGCACCUCCAACGCGGCUAGGCAGUGGCGACUCCUCCUUCAUGCGACGUGGCAAUGGCAACUCCCGCUCCUACUUCACGCGGCGUUUGAUUUGGAGGCCACGGUUGCGCAAGGGAGAGCAGGGAGGAAAGGAGGCUCCGCCUUCACCCGUCGGCGUGGAGGCAAAUGCGGCUCCGCCUGAACGCGGCGGAAAAGCGGCUCUGGUGGCGGCACCGGACCAUGGUCGUGGAGGAGCAAGCGUCAGAGCAUCAGCUUCAUCUGUGCUUUGUACUCAUUCGUCGCCGUCGUGGCCUCCGAGAGGAGGGGCGGCUGCUGCGGUGGACGUCGUUGCUACGGCUUGUCCUCCUCGUCGUCGGAGGAUAUGA